rnacentral:rRNA from 1 species
CCUAACCUUUGAGACCGGGAUAGCCCUGAGAAAUCAGGAUUAAUACCGGAUGUGGUCACGACAAGGCAUCUUGAUGUGAACAAAGGCGCAAGCCGCUCAAAGACGGGCUCGCGGCUUAUUAGCUUGUUGGUGGGGUGAUGGCCUACCAAGGCGAUGAUGAGUAGCUGGUCUGAGAGGACGAUCAGCCACACUGGGACUGAGACACGGCCCAG